rfam:Sporomusa malonica strain DSM 5090 genome assembly, contig: Ga0070592_120
UUAUUGGAGAGUUUGAUCCUGGCUCAGGACGAACGCUGGCGGCGUGCCUAACACAUGCAAGUCGAACGGAGUA